rnacentral:rRNA from 1 species
CAGGCGGAGAUUGAAGUUUACUCAAUAUCCCUGGAUUAUGACACCACGGACUACCAAGCACUCUUAGAAGGAUCCCAAGAUGAACAUGAUUUGGACAGAUUGCUGAAAUGUUCAUUCAAUCCUACUUAUAUAAAGGAGGCAAAUUUAACUCAUGAGAUUGAAUGCAGAUUUUAUUCACCAACUAGUGACCAUGGCAUGGCAAUACAAACACUUGAACCUGCUCCACCGGAGGUGUUGCCUGAGAAAGAGGAGGCCCUUGACACCAUGGCCCUUGGCGGCGGCGGAGGAGAGGAGGAGGAGGAGGAGAUGAGAGAGGGAGGAGCGUACAGGUACCCGCCGCCUUGUCAUCGAAGAAGCAGGAGGCUUGCACCCACCGCCACACUGCUGGAGGAGGGGGCCUGCCAUCUACUAGGUUACAUGCCAAAAAGUGGUUGGAAGCACGGGAGUCGCGUGAGAAGUGCACGCAAGAGAGGAACGUGGUCGAUAAACAUGGAACCAUGCUCCCGUGACUUCUCCUCUGCAAGUGAAGGCCACAAACAUGGGGGCAGAAGAAACAACGACCAUUGGACAUUUGAAGAGGUGAAAGAGCUAGUGGAUGGUGUAUCUGUAUAUGGGGUUAGACAUUGGACUAAAUUGAAGAAUGAAAGGUUUCCGAUAUCAGUUCGAACGGCGGAGCAUCUUAAGGAUAAAUGGAGAAACUUGUUGAAAGCCUACACGGCAAAUUUGAAAAGAAGGAUCUCGCCUCCUAUAGAUAAGGAUUGUGUCGAAAAGAUCCAGAGGCUAGCAGCUGAUUACCCUAAAAAAUGA